CAGAACCAGCCCCUAAGCUAGAGAGAAAGGAAAGAUGCAAAGCUGGUGGGAUAGGGGGUUUCUUAACAGGAACCGCAAAGAAGGCUCGUUCCAGCAGCAAAGGAGAAAAAAUAGAGGGAAACACAGAAAAGGGAAAGGGCCAAACUUAGCUUUACUGUAAGCAGAGCAAUCUAAGCUAAUCACAGUGAAAGUUCCUUUUAGUUAGAGAAGGAUGAGACGUGCUACUGCUGCCAUCUGUGACCUGUGGUCCCUGGUUUAGCUGGCUAGCCCAGCUUCUGUGGAUAGUGAAGACCCUAAAUCAAUCAAGCUCUGUGGAAACUUAGAGCACCUGGAGCUAAGCUCAGGCCACAGCUGAGAAGUUCAGAAGCUUUGAAGAAUCACACAGAUUAAAAAGGGAGCUUGGGGGCUGGUGUCCUCUGCAGAUCAAAGCAGUGUUUUGAGGAGAACCCCAAAGAUGACGAUCCGUAGGAAAUCAGUGCAAGAGACAGUAGUCCUUGGUUUUAAUGCCAGUAGUGUGGGUAACCGGCAAAGCAAGUUGAAAUGGGGACUACGUGCCUUCUCAUUCGGCACUGCCUUUUACCGGAGAUGCUGCAGAUGCUGGAGUAUGAAGUUUCAGAUAUUUUCUGGUGGUGGAUACUCUACACACAAAAAAAUUCAACGAUACAAGGGAAUGUUUGAAGGAGGUAAGGGGGGGUCUCCAGAUCACAAUCCCUGAGGAGCCUGGGAGCGUCCUUUAUACCCAGUGCUGUCAGACCCAUGCUUCCACACCAAAUCAAAAGUAGUUUUAACUCUUCCUGGUGAGAGCCUGAAGGGAUGUGGAGGGGCACUGCAGCUCCUGAAAUUGAGGAUCUGAGGUUGGCAACAGGACUGUAAUAUUCAAGCAUUUGCUAAAGAACUUUGAACGCAGCUGGAGUGGAUGGAAAAGACUUACUUUUGUGCUGCUAGGAUGGGAGAGCUCUCCCGCAGGGUGGUUUCUGUGUGCGUGUGUUUAAAUCUGUGCUUUAUAUUUUAUUGAGAUACUUUCUAUAUUAAAUUAAAUGAGCGACUGUAUUAAUUCAGGCAUGCAGCUUCCAGCAGCACUCCCAUAGUCACAGAGGUUUCUCUUUGCAUUAACAUAUCUGCGUUUAAAGCUAGGCCAUCUCAGCAACUUGAAGAGUACAAUGUACUGUAUAAUUUAACAGGGAACAGAAAGCAUAUCAAGUAAAGCCUUUAAAAUAUCACCUCUUCCCCAAAGUCUACCAGAAGAAAAACCCGCAAGCCCUACAGUCUGCUCGUGGCCCAACACCCAGCAGCCACAUAAAUCUGUGUCACUUUGAGGCCUACUGGUAGCAGCCUCCCUGCGGUUUUGAAAAAUUCAGGAAUCCAAAGGCUCAGUAACAUACAGCUGUCUGCGAGCGGAGGGAAGAGCAAGCUUAAGAGGACAAACAUCCGUGUGGUCUGGUGACCAGGCUGUGGUCUGGUGUAGUGUGAAAGGUGAAGUCCGUGUGAUGUGAACUGAAGCCAGACCUACAAACAUCACUGAAGUCAUAUGGGGAAGCAGAUUUUUUGCCUCCAGCUGCAGACAGAAGCUUUUCGGAGGAAGACAGAUAAGUCUGAAUGCUGCCCUUAAUUCAGUGUGGCAGGCGGGUGGCAGAUAGCUUGGGAAUCCUUCCGCCGUGAUACUUAACAUUAAUUUAGAGUCCACCUGCAAAGAUCUGGGGGAGCAGAAGUCUCAGGGUGUCUGUUCCUGUGGGCCUCCUAGGAAUCCCCUGCACCCUAAAGGAACUGGCUGGCUGGAAGUUUUACAAAACAUCCCCUUCUGUACAGCCUCUGCUGUUCUCAGCCACAGGGACUGUUGUGCUGGUAUUCUCUGUGCCUGGGCCCACUGGGAACCUAUAGGAAAAUCCUGCCUUCCCCCAGCUAGUAAUGACUAAGUGCUGGAGGCACUUUCCUGUAUGUAUUGACGCUAUGUCUUUUGAAGCUGCAGCUCCCACAGCGUAUAAAGGCUGUAUCCCGCCCUUUGAUGCCAAAUGAAGGCCAGGGUCACUGUAUUUGACCUCAGUAACUCAAGGUUUAAAAUGGAACAAAAGAGUCAGUAACCACUGGAAGUGGUUACUCAUGAGGUCUGAUCUUGUGUAAUACAAUACUCCAUGACAAGCGCUUCCAGUGUUGCCAGAGCAAAAGGAGUGGGACAUGCAGUGUGGGCAGUCUCAUUUCUUCACAACAGGGUGUUGGAGCACGUGCAUCUCUAGAGCAACUCAGACGUAAAAAUCUCAUAGCCCAUCUGUAAAUCCCUCCAGUGUGAUGAAAUUGCCGCUACCGGUCCCGUAACAGAACGUGUAGAGCCAUCUGGCAAAAUUAAGAUGAGUGGGAUUUGCUCCUUUUUGCAAAGGAAACGUCCGUCCAGCCAAACUCCAGGGUGUUUAUAAAUUACUUUACAUGGGAGAGGGCUGUGAAGGCUUCUCUUUUCCAGCUUGUGGUAUAGUAACCUAGCAGUGCUGACUUUCGUUUCUUGAAUCAAUCAUUCUCAUCUGGGUGAUGAUGCUUCCUUGGGCUGUGGCAUUAUGCCAUCACGUUUUCCAUAAGCCAGCAUGCAGACACAAAGAGCCUGGAUUGCUGGCCAAGUGUUGAACAAGGAGAAAAUCAGCAGGUCUAAUGUUGAAAUUAUUGAUAUUGUUUUAAAGUGGUCUAGUAAAUACAGUUGAAUCAGCCCUGUCAUCUCAGUCAGAGCAAUCAAAACAAUCAUUAAAGCUUAAUAAAGUUGAGUGAUUCAUCUUUUGCUGUAAUAUUUUCAAAUAAUUAUCCUACUUAAGAUUUCAGCUCCUUGAGAGUUUAAAAUUUAGGCAGACAUGAGGAGAAGGGCUGAAUUUUAAUCCAGUGCUAUCUCCUGUCCCCACUAUCUCCUAGGCUUUGUACCUUCUAUUCCUGCUAAGACUGGUUUCAAGCUCAUUGUUGAUGAGCACUGUGGAUGUUCAAGCAGUUGGAUGAUACAGAUGGAUACUUGGACUAGGUGGUCCAGGAUCUCAUCUCCAUCAAACCAUGCAUCCUUGUCCCUUGGCAGUGUCAAAUGUCCAAUUCAUAGUGUUUCUGGAGAACCUGACAGUCCCGUCUUGCACACAGUGAUGCAAGGCACAAUGCUGCACAGAGGCACGCAAAUGUGGAAGCCAGCCAAGUGCCACCUAGAGCGUAGACUAAUGGAGAUCUUCGCAUUUAUUCUGCCUGGCAGUUGUUUGCUUCCAAAUGUUGAUUAAAGCUUGGAACAGCUUCCAGCCCAGAAGAGGAGAUAGCUGUGCACCUUGACUCUCUGAUGCAGCAGAUGGUACCGGCGGCUGUUGUGGUGCAUUCAAUGGUUAGAUGUUUCCAGAGCCUCAGGUUGCUGCUCUGCUUGGCUGAAUCUCUCUUCAUAAAUAUUCACUUUUGAAAGAGAUUUAUUUAGAGGGAAAACAUGGCACAGAUAACUAUGGUCACCAGAAGAAAGGAUCUCAAAGGCAAUAUUUCCAUUGCAAAGGCAACCAAAAAAAGGACUCAGCAGGUUAGUCAUUUUAUGUGCAUAUUAAAUAAAAAGCAUUCACUGUGAGCAGAGAGUGCACACAGUUACAUCAGUUCAGCUGUUAUGCACUCAUUAAGCUGUAGUGACUAAUUUACUUGCAAUUGUUUCUCCAAGCCCUAAAUCAGAGCCUUUCAAACUGUGUUAAUGCCCUACCUUCCUUUCCCUGGCGUAGAAGGAGGGGCCAAGACACUGAUUUAUUAGAGGUGAAAAAAAACAAUCUUGGCUAAAACUGAACAAAGUACAUGUUAGAUCCCAGCUAGGCAUUUCAGCUUUUUCUCAGCCCAAACAGGAAUGUAGUUAGUAAGAAAUUUUGGUCACGGGGUCAAGAAAUACUUUCCAAGCUUUUCUUAGUGCGUUACCUUUUAUCCGUGUUGAUGGAUCAUUGUAAAAUGUCCCUGUAUCUAUCUUGCUCUCAAGGAGAUUUCCGCCAGUGGGAAUCUCAUGUGGUUUCUUUGUGUCUGUGCUGAAACUAUAUUUCAUGGAAGGAAUCUGUCAGGAAGGUGAACUUUCUGACAGUGAAAGUCUGCACAGUGUUUACGCAGCAGUAGGACCAGGCAUCUGGAGGGAGAGCAGCCAGCUUAUCGGCUACCCAGCACCCCGGAGUGGGAAAGAGUCAGGCGUAUGUUUAGACCUUGGAGUGCAUACCAACCAGCAUUACACUAACACGUCCAGCUACUUUGAUAAUAGCUGUAGCAUGCGAGGGCUAAGAAGUGACUGAAGAGGACAUGAAGUGGAUGGUUCAGACCCUGUCUCAGCCAUUCUGCUGUCACGGAGGCACCAGGCUGACGGGGUGUUGUUAACCACUUAGAGCUCUCUCCACACACUGACGGGAAGUGAUGCAGAACUGAGUUGUUCUCCUUUGAGUGAUGUGGAGAAAGUGUAUAUGGAGAAAACGGGCACAACCUCAUGUUACUUCUUGAUGGCUCCACGAAAAUUGAACUGCCUGUGAAAAAUGUUCUGUUAAGGAUGGGAGAAGAUUUUUUUUUUUAUUAUUAUUAUUACCUUUAUAAGGUGCUUGAGACCCUAAACUAGACAGUCAGAUGUACCUCCCUUACCUAGGGCAAUCAGAAACUCAAAUACGAGGUAUCUUUUUUUGAGGAGCUGUUUAUCCAUUCUGCCAUUCCAGGGUUGUGUCAUGUUUGUGGUACUGGACUGAUAAAACAGGGAUGCCACUGAUCUCUCACAGGGGGCAUGUGCUCCUUGACCCUUAGCAAGAUAACCUUGCUUUUCACUAGGGAAACAACAAGUUUACAGGUAGGAUGGGAAAUGCCCUUCUGGGGAAAAAUGGUGCCUGGUUUCAGACCUUUGUGUUGAGACAGAGCUAAAAUCCAUCCGCUUAGUUCAUACAAAAAAUUAAGUGGUGCUUAAAAGAAUUGUAGUUUUCUAGCUUUCCAGUGAUGAGUUAUGUUCAUUUUCAGCAAGCAAUGCAUUCAGAGGGAAAGUCCCUUAAGCCAGCCUCUGAACGCAUGCAUUUCUGUAUUUUCAGUGCUUAAAUAUUUGCCAUUUCCCACUCAGGAAUGCUGAUAUGACAUUAAAUUUCUGCAGACGUUCCCCUAAAUGGCUGUUUGGGGACAUCCACAAAUGCUUAU